rnacentral:rRNA from 1 species
UUUCGAAUCAUUCACAAUGGGCGAAAGCCUGAUGGUGCGACGCCGCGUGAGGGAUGAAGGUCUUCGGAUUGUAAACCUCUGUCACCGGGGAAGAAACGCUUCAAUUUAACAGAUUGAAGCCUGACUUAACCCGGAGAGGAAGCAGUGGCUAACUCUGUGCCAGCAGCCGCGGUAAUACAGAGACUGCAAGCGUUAUUCGGAUUCACUGGGCGUAAAGGGUGCGCAGGCGGUUGGGUGUGUCAGAUGUGAAAUCCCGAGGCUCAACCUCGGAACUGCGUCUGAAACUACUCGACUAGAGUAUUGGAGAGGGUAACGGAAUUCACGGUGUAGCAGUGAAAUGCGUAGAUAUCGUGAGGAACACCAGAGGCGAAGGCGGUUACCUGGACAAUUACUGACGCUCAGGCACGAAAGCAUGGGGAGCAAAAGG